AUGGCGGAGGCGCGCCGCAGCCACCCGUCGCAGUACGUGAAGCUGACCAAGGACCAGGACGCUUCCGCCUCCGGCCCCGGCGUGGAGGACAUCCGCCCUGGCGAGCUCAACCUGCCCGUCGCCGUCCCGCAGCUGGAGCGGAUGAAGUGCAUCCAGUGUGGGCAGGUGCUGCCUGAGGGCCACAAGGCGCCGGCCGACGAGCAGUGGACCACCGGCAUCUUCAGUUGCGCUGAAGACCCCGAGAGCUGCUGGACUGGACUAUUCUGCCCCUGUGUGUUGUUUGGACGAAAUGUUCAGGCCCUUAGAGAAGAUAUCCCACGGACAAGACCCUGCACUUGCCAUGCUGUCUGUAUUGAAGGUGGCAUUGCAUUAGCAAUCCUUACGGCUAUAUUCCAUGGUGUUGACCCAGACACAUUGAUCCUGAUUGGUGAAGGCCUGGUCUGCAGUUGGUGGAUAUGCUCUCAAUAUACUAGUAUUAUUCGUGAAAAGCUUCAGAAGAAGUAUCAUCUCGAGCGCCAAACCCAUAUCCAGGAAGAAGGCUCGGUUGAAUAA
rnacentral:rRNA from 1 species